UACAGAGGUCCCAAGCGUUGUUCGGAAUCACUGGGCGUAAAGCGCACGUAGGCGGUCUUUUAAGUCAGGGGUGAAAUCCUGGAGCUCAACUCCAGAACUGCCUUUGAUACUGGGAGACUUGAGUCCGGGAGAGGUGAGUGGAACUGCGAGUGUAGAGGUGAAAUUCGUAGAUAUUCGCAAGAACACCAGUGGCGAAGGCGGCUCACUGGCCCGGUACUGACGCUGAGGUGCGAAAGCGUGGGGAGCAAACAGG
rnacentral:rRNA from 1 species